rnacentral:rRNA from 1 species
UACGAAGGGGGCUAGCGUUGCUCGGAAUUACUGGGCGUAAAGGGCGCGUAGGCGGACAGUUUAAGUUGGGGGUGAAAGCCCGGGGCUCAACCUCGGAAUUGCCUUCAAUACUGGCUGUCUUGAGUGUGAGAGAGGUGUGUGGAACUCCGAGUGUAGAGGUGAAAUUCGUAGAUAUUCGGAAGAACACCAGUGGCGAAGGCGACACACUGGCUCACUACUGACGCUGAGGCGCGAAAGCGUGGGGAGCAAACAGG